rnacentral:rRNA from 1 species
GACGGUACCGUAAGAAUAAGCACCGGCUAACUACGUGCCAGCAGCCGCGGUAAUACGUAGGGUGCGUAGCGUUGAUCGGAAUUACUGGGCGUAAAGCGUGCGCAGGCGGUUAUCUAAGACAGAUGUGAAAUCCCCGGGCUCAACCUGGGAACUGCAUUUGGACUGCAUGGCUAGAGGCGGUAGAGGGGAAUGGAAUUCCGCUGUAGCAGUGAAAUGCGUAGAUAUGCGGAGGAACACCGAUGGCGAAGGCAACUCCCUGGACCUGUACUGACGCUCAUGCACGAAAGCGUGGGGAGCAACACGAUUAGAUACCCUGGUAGUCCACGCCCUAACGAUGUCAACUGGUUGUUGGGAAUUAGUCUUCUCAGUAACGAAGCUAACGCGU